GGUAGAUAUGAUGCGUUUGUGAAUUUAAUGGUGUAAAACAAUCCAAAUCUGAUGAAAUUUUUAUAGAAAAUUUUUUUUCACUAUUUAGAGUAAGAUCGGUACCUCUGAUCUUAAAUUCAAGUCUUUUAUCAUCAAUUUUUAUGAGAUUUUUAUUUCCAACCGUUCAUUUUUAGACUACUCGUUUGAUAGGUAAAUGAUGCCGAAAAAUUAUGAAAUUUAGUUUCCAAAUAUUUUCAAUAGUGUAGAUCAAAUUUAACGGAGCCGAUCAUCGAUUUGGAAGCCGCAUCAUUGAAAACAACUUGGUAGCACGGGGACCUCCGUGCUACUGAU
rnacentral:lncRNA from 1 species